GACGAACGCUGGCGGCGUGCUUAACACAUGCAAGUCGAACGGAGCGGCGAACGGGCGAGUAACACGUGGGUGACCUGCCCCGCACUUCGGGAUAAGCCCGGGAAACUGGGUUUACUACCGGCUAGGGUGGGAUGGGCGCGGGGCCUAUCGGCUUGUUGGUGGGGUAAUGGCAUACCGAGCCGGCGCCGGGUAGCCGGCCUGAGAGGGUGGACGGCCACAGUGGGACUGAGGCACGGCCCAGACGCCUACGGGAGGCAGCGGUGGGGAGUAUUGCGCAAUGGGCGGAAGCCUAAUGCAGCGACGCCGGGUGGGGGAUGUCGGCCUUCGGGUUGUAAACUCCUUUCACCAUCGACGCGGUAGAUGGAGAAGAAGCACCGGCUAACUACGUGCCAGCAGCCGCGGUAAUUC
rnacentral:rRNA from 1 species